AUCACUUCUCUACCUUUUGGCUAAGAUCAAGUGUAGUAUCUGUUCUUAUCAGUUUAAUAUCUGAUACAUCCUCUAUCCGAGGACAAUAUAUUAAAUGGAAUUUUGGAGUAAGGAGUUGGAAUAGGAGCUUGCUCUGAUCCACUCCACGCAUUCACCUGGUAUUGCAGUAUCUCCAGGAAUGGUGCACCCUCC
ensembl:snRNA U2 U2 spliceosomal RNA